rnacentral:rRNA from 1 species
CCUACGGGAGGCAGCAGUGGGGAAUAUUGCACAAUGGGGGAAACCCUGAUGCAGCAACGCCGCGUGAGUGAAGAAGUAUUUCGGUAUGUAAAGCUCUAUCAGCAGGGAAGAGAAUGAAGUUACCUGACUAACAAGCACCGGCUAACUACGUGCCAGCAGCCGCGGGAAGACGGAGGGCGCGAGCGUUAAUCGGAAUUACUGGGCGUAAAGCGCUCGUGGGCGGUAUGUCAAGUAAAGGGUGAAAGCCCCGCGCUCAACGUGGGAACUGCCUGUGAAACUGGCAAACUGGAGUGCGUGAGAGGAUAGUGGAAUUCCAGGUGUAGGAGUGAAAUCCGUAGAUAUCUGGAGGAACAUCAGUGGCGAAGGCGACUAUCUGGCACAUAACUGACGCUGAGGAGCGAAAGCGUGGGUAGCAAACAGGAUUAGAUACCCGGGUAGUC